AUUUUUCAUUUUAAAACAAAAGAAGAGGGGCUCUGCCAGGGUUUUCCUUAACCCAGGCCAUCCCCAAGCCGCCGCCUCCUCCACGGCAGAUCUGAGGCCCCUCCGACUUCGACGGCGAUGUGAUGGCACUCCAACGACACCCCCAACGGUACGUGUGUGUGGGUGGACGUGCAAGCGAAGACGUGGGGCGGUUACUGCGUCGCUCGUGGUGAAGUUGCUGCAAUAGAGAACAUGUGCGGCGCAGGGAGAAUUAGGGUUCCUAGAAUUAGUUUAGGAUUAGGUUAAUUGGGUUAGGCUAAAUUUGGGCUUGAAUUAAUGAAAUUGGGCUAUAUUGGGCCGAAUAUAUUUAGUUUAUUGGGCUAUGCAAAUGAUUUUGGGCCCGGGCAACAAUUGGGUAUCACAAGAUUAAUAUAAUUUUUUUGCAUAUGCAAUAUAUCAACAUAAAA